UUCCCGGGGCAGACCUUAGCCCGGAGCUUGCAUGGUGCCCGGCCGGCGUGGUGGCCCUGGCAGCCCCGCGGGGACCCCCAAAAGUUUGCUCACCCGGACCUUGGGAGGCAUGGAGGGCACAGGCUGUUUGGGAGUCGAGCUUGGCAGUCAGGAGGUCCCAGCGUUGGCGUGAAAGCCCCAGGUGACCUUCCCGACAGCCUCAGGGAAGUUUCCUCCAGCAAGAAGGCCGCGCCCAGAGCUGCUCCUCGCAAUCACCCCGAUGGCGGGCAGGCUGUUCUCGGGGUAACAGGUGCCAACCCUGACAGCAACUCUAUGCUGAGAAGGUGUCCCCAGUAACAGGCGUGAUGCGCGGUGAACCGCAAUCUGCGCCUGUCUGCGCUCCGUGGGUAAUCGUCUCUCUCACUUUCUCCGGACACAGCAUUCGCCAUGGAGGUGGCCCAGAGCCCGCGUCCCCAGCACCGACACAGGCAGAACACCAGAAGCCCUCCGCGGGAGCACCAGCGGCGCUCUGGUUUCUGGGCUGUGCAGAUGAAUAAUCUGCGGGUAAGACAGCUUGUCCAACUUGGCCAAUGAAGGAGAAAGAAGGGCUAGAAUUUGAAGAUCAGCUAGACUAUAUGCACGCAGACCCUUGGCCCAUUUGCAAAUUCCCAUGUGAAGUCAUACAAGGUCCAUGGCCUUCUGGCAAGAUUCCUUACCACAUCCUUGGCAAUGGUAAGUGGCAGUCCUUUCCCAGUUUCAGUCCUGAGAGCUGUUGGUGGGAUGGUGUCCCAGUGUGGGACCCAGGAACAGGAUGUCACAGUAGCCACGCAGAGUGCACGAUGCUUGGGGUUUAGCAUUCACACGAAAGACCUGAGGAAUUUAGUAUCAUGUUGCAAAUGCUUAUGUGUGAAGCACUGUGAUAGUCACAACACAUAAGAGGCAAAUUCUGUUCUUGCUGUCGGCUUGAAGUCAGCAAGGAAGAGAGAAGAUAACUGACUUUGUUACAGCAUGUGUGUGUGUGUGUAUGUGUGUGUGUCCUGGGGUUGAGGAGGAGGGUACAGACAGAGGAACCUAUGAAGCACCCGGUAACAAUGGGUGUCCACAAUAUUUAGAUUCGGAAAGGUUUUCACACUGCAUUUCUUCUCUUCUUAACAGCUCAGUAUUACCGUCUAGUCAUUUUUAGAUACAUUGUAUGAUGGCCACAAAAAACACCUUCUGGUCCAAAUCUGCAAGGAAAUGGGUAGACAGAGACGCUGGGAGUACUGCUCCCAACUAUACGGCAAAUUUCCAAAUGCAAUUGGCUGGCGGGUUCAGAUGCAACUCACUCUAUAUUGAAAAUAAAGCAUUAAUUCUACGUAUCACUCCAUUUGUUCUCUCAAAUGAAAAGUGAAAGAUUAAUUCAUUAGAAACAAAUCCUUUCAUAGGUCACUAGGUAACCAGUAUGAUUUUUUUUUGAUGGAGAUGUAUCAAUUCUAUAUUAAUUUCUAUAAUUUAUAAUCAU